UACGUAGGGUGCAAGCGUUGCCCGGAUUUAUUGGGCGUAAAGGGCGCGUAGGCGGCCAGUGCAAGUCAGUUGUGAAAUCUCCGAGCUUAACUCGGAAAGGUCAACUGAUACUGCUCGGCUAGAGUGCGGAGGGGGCAACUGGAAUUCUUGGUGUAGCGGUGAAAUGCGUAGAUAUCAAGAGGAACACCUGCGGCGAAGGCGGGUUGCUGGGCCGACACUGACGCUGAUGCGCGAAAGCUAGGGGAGCGAACGGG
rnacentral:rRNA from 1 species